UACAUGCAAGUCGAGCGAAUGGAUUAAGAGCUUGCUCUUAUGAAGUUAGCGGCGGACGGGUGAGUAACACGUGGGUAACCUGCCCAUAAGACUGGGAUAACUCCGGGAAACCGGGGCUAAUACCGGAUAACAUUUUGAACCGCAUGGUUCGAAAUUGAAAGGCGGCUUCGGCUGUCACUUAUGGAUGGACCCGCGUCGCAUUAGCUAGUUGGUGAGGUAACGGCUCACCAAGGCAACGAUUCCUACCCGACCUGAAAGGGUGAUCGGCCACACUGGGACUGACACACGGCCCAAACUCCUUCGGAAGGCAUCACUA
rnacentral:rRNA from 1 species